rnacentral:lncRNA from 10 species
UCGGAGAAGCCACAUGAGAAGCAGAAGCAGACAAGGAGGAGAGCAUUGCAGUGUCAGCAUCAUGGGAACAGACUAAUACAACCUCUCACUCAUGCCUCUGCUGAGGAAAGUUUUGUCUGAUUAAUGGAUGAGGGGAACAAGUUAGUCAACCUCUGUGACUCAUUACCUGGACCAUGGAUCAUGCUUUUUUCUCUGUUCCUGCUGCACUGUGACAAGAUAAUACUGCGAUGAAUAUUUUGUGACGUAUUUCCAUAUCCACAUAUAUGACAGCUUCUCUAGGUUGUGUGUCUCAGAAGAGAAAUAAUGUAUCAUAGAUUAAAGAGAGUUUCUCUGGCUGAAGAGAAUGUUUUGUGCAUUCUGGAGAGAAUAUGGGGAAAUGCUGUGGCCUGAUGAGUAACAUAUGCCUGGAGAAUAUUCAGAUUUUGGAAGAAGCACGAAAAUGAUUUACUGAUUUAGGAACUGGGUGGAGUAGACCACAAAAAGACAAAUCAAAAACAUCUGGAAUGAACUAGUUGAGAGAGAAAAAGAGAGAGCAAGAAAAAAAGCAGGAGCCGGCAAGAGGGAGCCUCAGCCAACACUACAUCAGAGGCACAUUGUGGAUGGAGGAAAUGAGUUUAGUCAAGCCAGCUGUGACUUCAAAGGGGCUGCUCUCCCAGAGAACAGUGAGAAAGGGUUCCCCCUUCAGUGAAGACUGCAAAGUUCAGCCAGCGCCAACCCAAAGGGAAUGGACUCCAGGAAGGGGCAAAUUACAUUCAACAUACAAGAAAGAAUAUUUUCCUUCAUGAAGUGGCUGUGACAGUCUGAAGAGGAAGGAAAAUGACAAAAAAGAAAGGGCCAGUACGUGGAAAAUGCGGAAAUUGGAACUUACUAUAAGUAACUAAUUCAGAAAUCAGGCUGGCAGAAGUGUUAUACAUUCACUGGAAGAAAUUGGUGAAUAUAUGGAAAACAUAAAUGUUAUGUAUCCUGGAACUUAAAAUAAAAAUUAAUAAUAAAAAAUGUUAUCUCUCCCAAGCACUCAUUUGAUGCUUGAAUCCUCUCUAUGACAUCCUUACCAAGGAUUUGUUCUUCUUAUGCUUGGGUACUUCAACUGAUGAGAAUCUCACUAGCUCAGGAUGCAGUUUGCUUUCUUUUAGAUAGCUCUGUUAGAGCUGCCUUCUUCCAGGGCUGAACACUUCCAUAAUUUAAAUUCCAUUUAUUAGUUUUAGUCCUGCCCCUUGGGAACUCGUAGCAAAGAUACUUACAUAUUAAUGUGACAUUUUUCAGGUACUUGAGGUUAGUAAUUAUGUAGCAUAUGACAUAGAUUAAACUCAUAGACUCUGGAAACAAACUACUUGCCUUCCCUUCAAAUUCUUAUUCUGCCACUUACUUACUAUGUGACCUCCAGAGAGUUAUUUACUAUCUCUGUAACUUUAUUUCUUUAUCUAUAUAAAAAGAUAUAAUAAUAGCAGUACAUCAAAGGGCUUUUAUAAGGAGUCCAUGAAUUAAUAUAUGUAGAUGUGCCUGGAACACGGUAAGUGCUCUAAAAGUUUUCACUAUUACUAAUCAUCAUCAUUAUUAUACAGAUCUUGUCAGAUAUCGGACCUAGGCCAUCUUUCUAAGUCUUUACUCAUUCAUUAAGUGAGCUCAUUCACUCCCAUGGCUUCAAUCACCAUCUAUAUGAUUAUGAAAAAUCUAUUUUCCUCCUGAGCCAAGAGCUAAAUGUAAGUGACCAGUUAUGGAUACAGGAAUUGCUCUGGCCACCAUAAUUUGGGUGGAAAUGGUGCAUACCACUUCCAGUUCUUGCCCCUUAAAAUACCAUGAGAAAUCUUGCACUCCUUUCUCCUAGUUCAUCAGCUAACUGAAUGCAGAGAAACCAGUGGAGGACUCCAAGGAAAUUCCAAAGAGUGGUUGAACCACGGGUUGGAAGAAGUCUAGAUCCCUGAGUCAAUGUUUGGAGAGGAGCUGCCGAGGAGAGCCACCAGAGAGGGACACAUGAGCAAGAAAUAAACAUUUCUUCUGUUAAAACAUUGAGAUUUUAUAGCCCAUCAUGACUAAUCCAAUGAGACCCUAGUGUAGAUCUUUUGCUUAGUCUUCGCUUCUGAGAUCUAGAACUAUAUAUUUCAUUUGCUAAUCACCAUUUCUACAUGAACCCUCAAAUAGGGUAAUAGGUAAACUCAGAGUUUCUAAGAUUAGACUGUGUUGAAAUCUUAGUCCUUCCAGGUACAGCUAUAUGACUCAAUGUGUGUGUGGGGGCGGGGGCAGGGGGGUUAAAUAAACUAUUCAUAACUGUAUCUACUUAAAAGUAAUAAGAAAAUGAAAUGAGCAUAUACAUAUAUAUAAAACAGUUAUCGGCACAUAGUAAAUGCUCAGUAAUUGUCAGGUAAUACAGUUAUUAUGACCAUCCCACUCCAAAUUUGCUCUUUCCCCAGGUUUUUUAUGUUGAUAAAUGGUACCACCAUCCAAUAGUUGUUAAAAUUAGAAAUUUGCAACUUUAUCUUGGAUCACUUUUUUUAUCCUCCCACAUGGAUAAAGUCAAUCAAUAACUGAUUGAUUACACUCCUUCAGUAUUUUUCAAAUCCAUUUGCUUAACUCUCUCCUCUUCUAUUCUACACUUUUCAUCCUAGUUAAAGCCACCAGCCUAUGUAACUUUAUUAUAUUUGCGUCCUUACUAGUCUUUUCAAAUCCAUCCUUGCACCCUCCCAAUUCAUGCUUUAUGUGGAAAUGUAGGCAUUUUUUAAAAAAUUCAAAUCAAAUCUUGCUGCUCAAAAUUUUAAAUGCAUCAACACCGAUUGCUCUUUGGUGCCACCACAUUCCUGACCCAUUACUUCAGCACCCCCUCAAACCCACCACAGGACUUUAUUUCUACAAUUCAGCCACACUGGACUUUUGUCGGUGUCAGAAAAGUGCCAUAGAUUGUCCCAUCUUUGAUGUUAUCAUGUGUUGGUUACUUUUGCUUAGAAUAAACUUUCUCCCCAUCCCAGUUUACCUAAUUAAUUCCUGACCACUCUUUACAUUUCUGCUUAAAUGCUAUACUCUCCAGAAAGCCCUCUUAGCAAUCUCUGCCCACACUUCUUAAAGCUAUGCCUACAUAGCCCCCACCUUAUUUCUUCAUUAAACUCUUUGCACUUGCCAUUAUUUGUAUAAUUAUGUUUUCCCAGCUAACCAGGAGACUUUGUGAGGGCAGAGACCUCAUAUGUAUGGCUCACUGCCUGGUAUAGACAGUAUAUUGGCUUAUACGAAGGAGGAGUUUAUUAAAUACAGUAAAUUUUUUUAAGUGUGAAUAUGAGUCUGUUAAAUGACUGUGUGUAUAUGUACCCAAUGUAAAGUUUUAUUUGGUUCGGUCUAGAAAAAUGUCCUACAGCCAAUUCAUGUACCUAAUUAAAUUCACUUACAAAUUUAGGAAACUCAGCACCUGCCCUAUUUGAGUUUAAAACUAGUUGAUUUGAUAGACAUAUAAAAUAAAAACUAUACUAUAGUAUCAUCCAUGCUGUCAUAAUAGAAUUAUCUCAAAACCUCCAUUGAUGUACUAUUUGGG